GUGGGGCUGUGUAAUUUUGUUUUUAGACCUGCGCUUACUGCGCGGUUUAAUAAACUCUUAUACACAGUGUUUUUGUUUGCGAAUUUGGUUUAGUUUGUUGGUUUUCAUUCGAAAGGAUGAAGAUUGAUUGCUA
rnacentral:misc_RNA from 1 species